CGAAGGGUGCAAGCGUUAAUCGGAAUUACUGGGCGUAAAGCGCGCGUAGGUGGUUCAGCAAGUUGGGAUGUGAAAUCCCCGGGCUCAACCUGGGAACUGCAUCCAAAAACUACUAGAGCUAGAGUACGGUAGAGGGUGGUGGAAUUUCCUGUGUAGCGGUGAAAUGCGUAGAUAUAGGAAGGAACACCAGUGGCGAAGGCGACCACCUGGACUGAUACUGACACUGAGGUGCGAAAGCGUGGGGAGCGAAACAGGAUU
rnacentral:rRNA from 1 species